GGUCUUUUAGUUUAAUAAAAAUUUUAAAUUGCAAGUUUAAUGAUACUUCAAAAGUCAAGACUU
rnacentral:tRNA from 1 species